rnacentral:lncRNA from 1 species
GAAGGCGGGAACGCGCCCCGCGCGGGGCCUGACGGGAAGCGGUUGCUAAGCAACGCCCCCUUGAGGCCUACUCGUAGCGCGGCGGGAGAGAAUCGGUUUCUAAUUUAUAAUUUAUAGGCGCGAUUUAUUUGAAGAAAUAUUACAACAUAUAAAAACUACAUAAAGUAUCGAGUUCCACCUUGUACAAAGCGGCCGCGGGGGGUUGGGUACAAUGCGAUAAAAACGGGGAGCGGGGCCGGGCCCUGAGGGGGGGUUGGGUCAGCACAGAGAGCGCUGAGGGAAAGGAAUUUAAAAAUAAAAUUAAAAAAAUAAACGAAAGACAAAGAGGUAAAGUGGUUUUUAAAAGAAAAAAACGGAAGAAGAAGAAAAGGCAGGAAAAAAAAAAUCCAGGGGGAAAAAGAAGGGAAAAAGAACUUUGAACAUAAAGGAAAAUAAGGGUUAAGAAAGAGAAAGAAAAAAUAGGAAAAAGGAGGAAAAAAAGGAGAAAGAAAGAAGGGAUGUAAAGAAGGGAGAAAAAUAGAAAAGGGGGGAAAAGAGAAAAAAAAAAUAGAGGAAAAAAAUAUAGAGGAAAAACAAAAUAAUAGAGAAAAAAACAGAAAAAAAUUGAGGAAAAACCAGAAAAAAUUGAGGAAAAAACUCCAAAAAAAUUAAAAAAAAAGGGGAAAUAAAAGCGAAACCAAACCAAAGUGAAGCAAAAAGGCCAAAAAUCAUCCCCAAAUCAGCCAGGCCGCCCCCCCAGGGCUCCGUGUCCGGCGGCCGGGGACUCAGGCGGCCGCUUCCAUCGGCUCCGGACGCGCCACGCGGGGACCUGGGGACACCACGGGGACACCGUGGGGACAGGCGAGGUCACUCAGGGGUCACUCAGGGGUCACUCAGGGGUCAGGGGGUCACUCAGGGGUCACUCAGGGGUCACUCAGGGUCACUCGGGGGUCACUCAGGGGUCACUCAGGGGUCACUCGGCCACCUGGACGCCGCCGCAGUUCUCUUUGCUCUCCGAGGUGAUGGCCAGGUACUCGGAGCUGGUGGGGGGGAGGGGAGAAAUUCGGGGUGGGGGAGGGGAUCCCGAAUUCGGGAACCCCCAAAAAACCCAAAAUCCCCAAAAAAAAUCACCCAAAAAAACCCCAAACCCCCCAAAAUUCCACCCAAAAAUGUCCCAAAAUUCCACCCUAAAAAACCCCAAAUUCCACCUGAAAAUUCCCCAAAAUUCCACCCGAAAAUUCCACCCUUAAAAACCCAAAAAUUCGAACCCAAAAUGCCCCAAAAUCCCCCAAAAUUCCACCCCAAAAUGCCCCCAAAUCCCCCAAAAUUCCACCCAAAUUCCCCAAAAUUCCACCCAAAAAUGUCCCAAAAUUCCACCCUAAAAAAUCCCAAAUUCCACCCAAAAUUCCCCAAAAUUCC